UUGUCUACUAAUUAUAGACCAGCAUGAAAGGCAACAUGAGGGUCUGACUGUCUCUUAUAAUAAAUCAAUGAAACUGAUCUCCUAGUAAAAAAGCUAGAAUAAUCCCAUAAGACCAGAAGACCCUGUGAAGCUUAAACCAAACUAUUAAAACACAUAAUAACUAAUUUCGGUUGGGGCGACCUUGGAAAAAAAAAGAACUUCCAAUACCAUGAAUCUUACCUCAUAACACACAGGCCCACAAGCCAAUAAACGACCCAGUACAACUGACAACUGAACCAAGUUACUCCAGGGAUAACAGCGCAAUCUUCUUCAAGAGUCCAUAUCAAAAAGCAAGGUUUACGACCUCGAUGUUGGAUCAGGACAUCCUAAUGGUGCAGCCGCUAUUAAGGGUUCGUUUGUUCAACGAUU
rnacentral:rRNA from 1 species